AGGCAAAACAACAAUCGAUACGGCCUACGACAUACCCCAGCUAAUCAAGUAUCUGGAUAUGAUUAACCUGAUGUCCUAUGAUCUCCAUGGUUCAUUCGAGGACCACACCGGCCACAACAGUCCGCUAAAAGCUGGCCCCAUGGACGUGGGAAAUGACGCUUUGCUGAAUAUGGAAUGGGCUUCCCUGGAGUAUGUAAGAAGAGGUGCACCGAAGAGUAUGCUUAACAUCGGAAUGCCUCUAUACGGUCGCUC